UACGAAGGUGGCAAGCGUUGUUCGGAUUUACUGGGCGUACAGGGAGCGUAGGCGGUUGGAUAAGCCCUCCGUGAAAUCUCCAGGCUUAACCUGGAAAGUGCAGAGGGGACUGUUCAGCUAGAGGAUGGGAGAGGAGCGCGGAAUUCCCGGUGUAGCGGUGAAAUGCGUAGAGAUCGGGAGGAAGGCCGGUGGCGAAGGCAGCGCUCUGGAACAUUUCUGACGCUGAGGCUCGAAAGCGUGGGGAGCAAACAGG
rnacentral:rRNA from 1 species